rnacentral:rRNA from 2 species
GCAUUCAUCGCUCCGUUGAUGUAUGAAGUUUUCGGAAUCGUAAAGUCUCUGUUGUUAAGGAGGAGCAAGUAACGUUCGAUAGGGCGUACCUUGACGUACCUACCAGAAGCACGGCUACUACGUGCAGCAGCCGCGGUAAUACGUAGGUGGCAAGCCGUUGUCCGGAAAUUAUUGGGCGUAAAAGGGCUCGCAGGGCGGGUUUUCUUAAAGUCUGAUGUGAAAGCCCCCGGGCUCAACCCGGGGAGGGUCAUUUGGAAACUGGGGAAACUUGAGUGCAGAAGAGGAGAGUGGAAUUUCCACGUGUAGCGGUGAAAUGCGUAGAGAUGUGGAGGAACACCAGUGGCGAAGGCGACUCUCUGGUCUGUAACUGACGCUGAGGAGCGAAAGCGUGGGGAGCGAACAGGAUUAGAUACCCUGGUAGUCCACGCCGUAAACGAUGAGUGCUAAGUGUUAGGGGGUUUCCGCCCCUUAGUGCUGCAGCUAACGCAUUAAGCACUCCGCCUGGGGAGUACGGUCGCAAGACUGAAACUCAAAGGAAUUGACGGGGGCCCGCACAAGCGGUGGAGCAUGUGGUUUAAUUCGAAGCAACGCGAAGAACCUUACCAGGUCUUGACAUCCUCUGACAAUCCUAGAGAUAGGACGUCCCCUUCGGGGGCAGAGUGACAGGUGGUGCAUGGUUGUCGUCAGCUCGUGUCGUGAGAUGUUGGGUUAAGUCCCGCAACGAGCGCAACCCUUGAUCUUAGUUGCCAGCAUUCAGUUGGGCACUCUAAGGUGACUGCCGGUGACAAACCGGAGGAAGGUGGGGAUGACGUCAAAUCAUCAUGCCCCUUAUGACCUGGGCUACACACGUGCUACAAUGGACAGAACAAAGGGCAGCGAAACCGCGAGGUUAAGCCAAUCCCACAAAUCUGUUCUCAGUUCGGAUCGCAGUCUGCAACUCGACUGCGUGAAGCUGGAAUCGCUAGUAAUCGCGGAUCAGCAUGCCGCGGUGAAUACGUUCCCGGGCCUUGUACACACCGCCCGUCACACCACGAGAGUUUGUAACACCCGAAGUCGGUGAGGUAACCUGUAGGAGCCAGCCGCCGAAGUGAUAAU